GAACGGGUGAGUAACGCGUGAGGAACCUGCCUCAAAGAGGGGGACAACAGUUGGAAACGACUGCUAAUACCGCAUAAGUCCACGGUGCCGCAUGGCACAGAGGGAAAAGGAGCAAUCCGCUUUGAGAUGGCCUCGCGUCCGAUUAGCUAGUUGGUGAGGUAACGGCCCACCAAGGCAACGAUCGGUAGCCGGACUGAGAGGUUGAACGGCCACAUUGGGACUGAGACACGGCCCAGACUCCUACGGGAGGCAGCAUG
rnacentral:rRNA from 1 species